AAACUGUGUAUGUAGGAAAAGAAGCUCUAUGAUGAAGUCAAGGUAUGGUUCAUGAAUCAAUAUGCUUUUAGAUUUUACUUUACUUUUUUCACCUUUUUCUUUUAGUUCAUGUUUUUGUGUCGAAGAGAUGAAUGACUCGGUAAAUUUUGAAAUACUUUAUCAGAGUUUAUUUUCUUUGAAAAACUUUAACCGUAGUUUUUU
rnacentral:lncRNA from 1 species